UUAUACCGUGAAACUGCGAAUGGCUCAUUAAAUCAGUUAUCGUUUAUUUGAUAGUACCUUACUACUUGGAUAACCGUGGUAAUUCUAGAGCUAAUACAUGCUGAAAACCCCGACUUCGGGAGGGGUGUAUUUAUUAGAUAAAAAACCAACGCCCUUCGGGGCUUCUUGGUGAUUCAUGAUAACUUCACGGAUCGCAUGGCCUUGCGCCGGCGACGGUUCAUUCAAAUUUCUGCCCUAUCAACUUUCGAUGGUAAGGUAUUGGCUUACCAUGGUUUCAACGGGUAACGGGGAAUUAGGGUUCGAUUCCGGAGAGGGAGCCUGAGAAACGGCUACCACAUCCAAGGAAGGCAGCAGGCGCGCAAAUUACCCAAUCCCGACACGGGGAGGUAGUGACAAUAAAUACUGAUACAGGGCUCUUUUGGGUCUUGUAAUUGGAAUGAGUACAAUUUAAACCUCUUAACGAGGAACAAUUGGAGGGCAAGUCUGGUGCCAGCAGCCGCGGUAAUUCCAGCUCCAAUAGCGUAUAUUAAAGUUGUUGCAGUUAAAAAGCUCGUAGUUGAAACUUGGGCCUGGCUGGCAGGUCCGCCUCACCGCGUGUACUUGUCCGGCCGGGCCUUUCCUUCUGGAGAACCUCAUGCCCUUCACUGGGUGUGCUGGGGAACCAGGACUUUUACUUUGAAAAAAUUAGAGUGUUCAAAGCAGGCCUUUGCUCGAAUACGUUAGCAUGGAAUAAUAGAAUAGGACGUGCGGUCCUAUUUUGUUGGUUUCUAGGACCGCCGUAAUGAUUAAUAGGGACAGUCGGGGGCAUCAGUAUUCAAUUGUCAGAGGUGAAAUUCUUGGAUUUAUUGAAGACUAACUACUGCGAAAGCAUUUGCCAAGGAUGUUUUCAUUAAUCAGUGAACGAAAGUUAGGGGAUCGAAGACGAUCAGAUACCGUCGUAGUCUUAACCGUAAACUAUGCCGACUAGGGAUCGGGCGAUGUUCUUUUUCUGACUCGCUCGGCACCUUACGAGAAAUCAAAGUUUUU
rnacentral:rRNA from 1 species